rnacentral:rRNA from 1 species
CCUACGGGUGGCAGCAGUGGGGAAUAUUGGACAAUGGGCGAAAGCCUGAUCCAGCCAUGCCGCGUGUGUGAAGAAGGCCUUCGGGUUGUAAAGCACUUUCAGUGGGGAAGAAAGCCUUGGGGCUAAUACCCUCGAGGAAGGACAUCACCCACAGAAGAAGCACCGGCUAACUCCGUGCCAGCAGCCGCGGUAAUACGGAGGGGGCGAGCGUUAAUCGGAAUUACUGGGCGUAAAGCGCACGUAGGCGGUCUGAUAAGCCGGUUGUGAAAGCCCCGGGCUCAACCUGGGAACGGCAUCCGGAACUGUCAGGCUAGAGUGCAGGAGAGGAAGGUAGAAUUCCCGGUGUAGCGGUGAAAUGCGUAGAGAUCGGGAGGAAUACCAGUGGCGAAGGCGGCCUUCUGGACUGACACUGACGCUGAGGUGCGAAAGCGUGGGUAGCAAACAGGAUUAGAUACCCCGGUAGUC